GCAAAGGGAAAAGGAGGGAGCAGACAGCUGAUAGCAAGAAGAAAAUCAUGAGCACUGGUCGGCCAGGUACCGCUCAGGAGAGCUAAUGCUCUGAUGCUUUCCUUCUGGCUUCUGCCUCCUUAAAGCGACGGGUUGUUGGAUGACCUGCUCCAGGUCCCAUGAGAGAGAACUAACAUACAGGAGGAAAGGAUCAUGGUGGUCCGUUGCUGGUCCUCUUCUUCUGAUGAAAAUUGAUAGGACAAAGCAUCCGGUUUUACUUUUUUGGGGCCAGAUCAGUAGGUGAUGGAGAAGUUGAAACAGGAGAAAAACAGUGACCAACGGAUAGGUGGAAGACAGGACUCCAGAGGAGGGUUAAUGGCGACCGAGCAUUAGCUCUCCCAAGAGCUGACACCUUCCUUCUGGCUUCUGCCACCUUAAGUGUGCCACUUGAUUGGAAUAGAUGGGAAGCACCUGUGCAACCGUCCACCUGUCGCACCCUGCUGGAGAAAACUGCACUGCCUCUGCAAAGACAGCGGAUGUCUGGAUUGGUGGAGAGCUAAAUUGCUCGGUGUGAGCUCCGUCACGGCUCAGCUCUCCUUGAGAUAAUGAAAUGACAAUUAAUGGGAAAGCUGUUGCCAUUCGCUCAUUUGUUAGCUUGGAAGUGGAGCAGCAGCGUCGGAGGAAAGACGGAGCGCUGCAGUCAAGACGGAAGCUGGAAAGAGCUCAAUAGUUGGUUUAAUAGCACACAUAGUGGGCUAUUGGAUGUCAAUAAUUUAUGUAAAUUAGGAGCUGACUGAAUAAACAGAUCAUUUAAAAGCAUUUUGUGUAAUGGUUCACAGCCAGUGUAUGCGUCUUUAAGGCUGGCAAACAAUGAAUAUCUGUAGAUCCAAAUCCAGCCCAUCUGAGAGUCAGCAGAUAAGACUCAGAGUGAACAAACACAUGCACAUAACGUUAUCUAAAGAAAAUAAUUAACCUUUCCUCUAUGUUUUAGGCUGUGGAAGGAGAUGGGGUAACUGGGGGUUACCCAGGUAGCACAAGGAGACCAUACCAUAUUUUAACCCACAUACAGCAGUUAGGCCCCAUUCACGAUUUUAACCAACAACCUUCUAAAUCUAAUCCCUGCUGAAUACCAUAUUUAUGUGCCGUUCAACUUUGUGUUAAUUCAGACCCGGCGGCAUGGGUGGGCAUUGGGAGGCCGUGCCCACCCGCUGAGCCAGCCGCGCCCGCCUUGGGCAACUUAAAAGAAAAAAACAAGACCAAAUCUUAAACUCUCUAGUGUUAAAAGCAUAGAACUGUUAAACAUAUAAGAACAUGCUGUUAGCAUUCAACUGCACUAAAGCAAAGAAAAGAAAAAAAAA